AUUCUGUGGGUCAAUAACUCAAACAGGGUACAGGAGGGAUGGCUUAUCUCUCCAAGUUGUUUGGUGCCUCAGCUGGAAAGAUGUGAACAGCAGACAUGACUCAAACAGCUGAGAGUUCUAAUAACUUGGACUGAAGCAUCCAUUUCCAGAAUGGCUUAGUCACUCACAUCUGGCCUCUAGACUGGGAUGAUUUGAAGGCUUACCUCAGCUCACAGUGUCAACUAGAGCACCUACACACAACCUUUUCCUGCUUGGGUUUCUCAAGGCAUGGUGACUGAGCUCCAAAAGGAAGCAUCCAAGAGGGAAAUUCCAGAGAGAGAAUGGAAGCUGGAAGAAACAGCAGGAAGCUUCGUGGUCUUUUGUGACCUCACCUCCGAAGUCACAAAGCAUUAUUUCUACCAUAAUUUGUUGUUCAAAACAUUCACUCCAAUUCAAGAGAAGAGGACAUAGACCAUUACUCAGUGGAUAAAUGGUAAAAAAUUGAAGAUAGAGAAAACAUCCUUGUUUAUUUUAUCAAGUUCAUCAGCUUCUAAGAUUGUGUUACAGAAUGACAACAAAGCUGUCACUAAGAAAAUAAUCCUAGCCAAUUUACUUCAGAUGAUUCAACCUACAGUGUUAUCUGUAUCCCAUGGUACCACCAUGGGAGCCGAAGCAGCAGUUUUACACGGAAGGAGGACAAUUAUUUCAGUGGUGAAGUAAACCUGCUUAGAAGGCUCAGCAAGCAUUUUACAGCUUCCCUUUAUCACAGGAUACUGAUAAAAGAUAAGCUGAAACUGCCUUUCAAAUUAGCAAAUAGCACAGAACAUUUAAGUAUGCACUUGGUGGAGAAUGCUCAGAGAUUCUUCCGGGACACCAGACACAAAUUAAUGGCUUUAAGUCACACACUUUGUAUGGAUAGGAAAAGUAACUUCCUAAGUUUCCAUGGGGAAAAAUAAAAGGAUCACAGUUUGAUAUGGAAGCAUGACACCUAUGGCUGUAAAUUGAUGUCAUUGACAAUGAAUAAUCAGAAUAACAUACAGAAUGAUUUGCUUCAAGACCAGCCAUCCAAACAUAUUCCUAAAGUGAUUGUAUCAGUUUCCUAGAGCUGCCAUAAUGAAUUGCCACAAACUCGGUGGCUUGGAACACCAGAAAUGUAUUCGCUUGCCAUUCUGG
rnacentral:lncRNA from 1 species